rnacentral:rRNA from 1 species
ACGUAGGGGGCGAGCGUUAUCCGGAUUUACUGGGCGUAAAGCGGGCGUAGGUGGCCUGUCAAGUCAGAUGUGAAAUCUCCUGGCUCAACUAGGAGGAUGCAUUUGAUACUGAUGGGCUAGAGUGCAGCAGAGGGUGAUGGAAUUCCCGGUGUAGUGGUGAAAUGCGUAGAUAUCGGGAAGAACACUAGUGGCGAAGGCGGUCACCUGGGAUGUAACUGACACUGAGGCCCGAAGGCGUGGGGAGCAAACAGGAUUAGAUACCCUGGUAGUCCACGCAGUAAACGAUGGAUACUAGGUAUGGGGAGUAUCGACCCUCUCCGUGCCGAAGCUAACGCUUUAAGUAUCCCGCCUGGGGACUACGAUCGCAAGAUUA